UAAACUUUGAAUUUUGAAAUGAGAGAAGAUAUAUUGACAGUGGAAACACAAAACAUGGCGGUUGAAUAAAACGGAUUGCGAUUCAAAAUAAAAAUCAGAACUCAUAACUCAGUUAUCAAUACUCACUGUGCAUUUUCUGCAAGCACUUACCAACUCAUGUUUCUUUGUGUGUGAAAUAAAAAAGACGAGUACAUGAAUUAAAUUUCAUCAUUCAAUGCUCUCAACAACUCAAUGCUCUUCGAAUUCAUUUGUGCCCACACAUUUUCCUUUUCUUCACUUUCUCGCACUCUUUCGAUCAUGCAGGUGGAUAUGGUGAAAUUGAAGAUUCUCGAGUUCAAAUUAGUCACAAGCGCUCUAAGAGUGCUUCUGACAGGAACCUGAAAAUCUCAAGGAGUGGAGUUUUUCAUGCUGUAGAGAAAGACCAAGAUGAAUCUCUUGUAUCACCAUCUUCCGUGAGGACUUCAAGGCUGCGAAGUCCUUUGCAUGACAACCUUAGUUGUACAAACAAUAGUACUGUUUCAAGUAAUAGAGCAUCCUUGGAAAAAGAUGUUGAGCAGCUACAGUCACGCCUACAACAAGAGAAGUCUAUGCGUUUGCUGCUCGAGAGGGCAAUGGGCCGAGCCUCAAGUGCUUUAUCUCCUGGACACAGGCACUUUGCUGCUCAGACAAAAGACUUGAUUGCUGAAAUUGAGUUACUUGAAGAGGAGGUUACAAGCCGUGAGCAGCAUGUGCUUUCUAUGUACAGAAGUAUUUUUGAACAGUGUAUUAGCCGGCCAACUUCUGAACAAAAUUCUGUUGUCGCUUCACCUGCUCAUACAAGGCAUGAAUCCAGGAAGCAUCCAAGUAUAAUUUCAAAUGUUUUCUGUUCAUCAAAAAAAUUCCCCCUGCGAGCUCUAAUUUCUAAUAAUGACCUGAAGAAUAGAAUUUUUGGGUCAAAUCAUGCUCCUUCAUCCAGUGGCAAAUGCAAAAUGUAUUCUGGAAAGACUUGCCCUGAUUCUACCAAGAUUCGGGAGAAGUUUUCUAGGAUGGAAAGCACUCCAGUAUUGCGAACUUUAAAAGACCAUCUAUACCAGUGUCCAAGCAGGCUGUCUGAGGAGAUGGUGAAGUGUAUGGCCACUGUAUAUUGCUGGCUCCGUAGUGCAACCUCUGCAAACCUUGAAGACGGUAGGUCGCCUUUAUUGUCAAGGUCAUCCACUAUUGGUAUGCAGCCUCAACAUGGCAUUGGAGAGGAUCGAGACCGGUCUUGCAAAUCAGCUGUGGAAAUAUCAUGGAUAUCUUCUCGCAAGCGUCAUUCUUCUCAUGCUUCUUAUGCCAUCAACAAUUACAGGUUGAUUCUUCGACUAUGAUAAUUUCAAAUAAGAUGUUAAAGUAGGAGCACCGAAAAUCAAUUACUGUUGAGGUGAAUUCACUUGGAUUAUUAAAUCCAAAUUGGGCCUUCAAAUUAUUUCGUUGCUUGGAAAAUUUGAAAGUUAUCUAGUAGUCCUCUAUCCUGUACAAAGGGUUUUGAAGGCUGCAGGGGAUAAUCCACCAUCACAGAAAAAGAAAGAAACUACUGAAACUAGAUGACAGAGCAUGCAACAAAGCAUAUCACUUCCUCUGCAUGUCUACUGUAGAAACCCGGCUAAAAUAUACCAUGGACAUAGCACCAAAGGAACCCCAAGACCUUUCUUUAUUGGUUUUGAGCCAGAUAUGUCUUUGCCUCUGCACCACCUCCCCUAAAUAUCUUGUGUUUCACAGUUUGAUGUUUUAGCAUUUCUGGAAGUCACGUUAAAAAGUAGGGUCUUUACAUGUGCAUAUGCUCUUGUAAAUCCACUUUUUCAUUAUAAUUAGUGGAUUUUUAGGAAAAAUAGAAUUUGGAUACUAUCAUGGGCAGUUCUUUUUCUUGUUGUUGUAGUAGUAGGCCACAGUAAGAAGAAUCAAUCAUAUGAUGACCAAAGAAAACUUGGAGAAGUGAGAAGCAAUAUAACAAACCUUUUCUAAAUUGCGUUUCUGAAAAUUUAGCUGUUGACAUAACUCAAUGGUGUCGAUAAAUCUAACCUCUAGGUGUUGGGAGGAUUUUUCAGUCUUAGUUUUUUAGGUACCUGUUAUUUUGUUCAAGCUUGUGCUUAAGUUCUUAUGAUUGAAUUGUUGACUUGAC
rnacentral:lncRNA from 1 species